AGGGUUAUAAAGUCAUUCAAAAAGCCAAAACAGUUUUUUGACAGGUCAGCUUCAGAUUCUAUUAUAUCAAAUGCUAAUGUUAAACUUGAGCAAAACCAAAGCUGUUGCUGAGGUUUGAAUUGGCUCAAUUUUGGUUCUUUGAGUAAGUGUUUUGAAUAGCUGGAUUUUAGAAAAACCUUGAAAUAUCUUUACAUGCAUCUACUAUGCCAAUUUUGGUUCCGUUGUCCUCAAACACCGUCGUCACCAUUGUAAUUGUAGUAGUCGUGGUUUAGUCCACUGUGUCGGCUCUCUCUCGUUGCAGUGGCGUUCUCCCCCUUGUCCAUGUCACCCUGUUCUAACUUCCCGGUAGUCGUAUUUUUUCGUCAUCCUAUUCUCGCAGUAGCCAUCGCAGGUUUCUCCCUUAGACACAUCUUGUUUCAUUGUGGCUUAAGCAAGAAGAUUGUCACAAGCGCAUAUCUGUAUUUUUUUGGGUCUUGAACUAUUUUAAAGGCAGAGAUACAAGAGAAGACAAGGGUCAACUUUAAAAUCUUUAUAAUUGCAUGGUCAGGGAGAGAAGGGAAAGCAAUACUCCAGUAUCAACAGCUUCCUCCACUCCAGUAUCUGUGCCAAUUAUACAAAUUAACCUUCACUUUGUCAUUCAAUGGUGUACUUAGUAACCCUUUGAAUUUUGUUUUGUCCAUUGGAUCUGCCAACUGCAGGAAGUAGAGCAGCAACAGGGACAGGAAGGCACAUCCAGAGCUGUUGAGAAGUUUGUUCCAAAAGGAUAGAUUCAUGAAGGUUGUAAUUUUUUUUUUGGAAGGAGGAAUGUUGUCAUUUUCAUAACAUUGAUUGGAUAUGAGUUGAAUUUUACUAUCGGGUUAUUUUGUAAAUAAAACAUUGUGUGGUGUACUUGGCUUGAAUGUCUUAUAAGGUACUGUGCAAUAUAGGGUUUUAUUUUAAUCCUGUAUGUAAAAUAUUUCUUUUGAUAAUUUUGGCCGGUCCCUCGACAAGUUUACUUGAUGACGUGGCUUAGAGACUAUUUGCAUGC
rnacentral:lncRNA from 1 species